UAUGUGUGGGUGAGAAGGGAGAGGGACCAUGUUAUUUUUCUCCGUGGUUAAACUGGAUUUACAGUACCGGGCUCGCGCUGUCCCCAAUUGAGUGGCAUCAUCAUGUACGGCGAUGGAGAGGGCACUGUUUGGGACAGAGUCGGACGCCCCCGACGGGACUGCAUGUGCUACCUCGGACCUCCGACAACUUUGAUGCCCAUCGGGAUGCGGAAGUCUCCCGAUGUGAGUCCCAGACGGCUUUCGGACAUCAGCCCCCAACUGAGACAACUGAAGUAUCUGGUUGUGGACGAGUCUAUCAAAGAGGACACUUUAAAAUCGUCCCGUUCCUUUGAAGACAUUAACAGCGCGUCGAUAGAGGAGAGGAUCUUGAGGAUCACUGGAUACUACGGCUAUCAACCUUGGAAUGCUGUCUACACCAACAGAGAAGACCGUCCCAGAGAGAAUGUGGUGGGCAGCACAGCGGACGGCCAGGCGGCAAACGGCGGGGCGCCGGGGGCGGAGCCUGCUACGGGGAGGUGGAGACUUCGUUGCUGCAUCAAAGUCACGGCCGUACAGGUGCGGAAGGCGCUGUGGGGCGUUGCCAUGGUGAUGUGUGUGUGCUCAUCGUGGGCGGGGUCCACCCAGCUGGCCAAGCUCACCUUUAAGCAGUUUGACGCUCCAUUCACCCUCACCUGGUUCGCCACCACCUGGAACUGCCUGUUCUUCCCCCUCUACUACAUCGGACACCUGUGUAAGAGCCCUGAGAGACAGACCCCCAGACAGAGGUUCAGGGAGUGUUGUCGGUUCUUUGGGGACGACGGGCUGACAGCCAAGGUGUUCUUCACUAAGGUGGCUCCGUUUGGAUUGCUGUGGAUCCUCACCAACUACCUGUACCUACAGGCCCUGAGGAAGAUCAACACUACAGACGUGUCAGCUCUGUUCUGCUGCAACAAGGCCUUCGUAUUCCUGCUCUCUUGGAUCGUACUGAGAGACCGCUUCAUGGGGGUCAGGAUCGUGGCGGCCAUCUUUGCCAUCGCUGGCAUCGUGAUGAUGACCUACGCUGACGGUUUCCACAGCCACUCUGUCAUGGGGAUCACCUUCGUUGUGGCCUCCGCUUCUAUGUCUGCACUUUACAAGGUGCUCUUUAAAAUGGUCCUGGGCAGUGCCAAGUUUGGGGAGGCAGCGCUCUUUCUGACCAUCGUCGGCGGGGCUAAUUUUGUGUUCAUCAGCUUUGUGCCAGUCAUCCUGUACUUCACCCAUGUGGAAUACUUUGGUUCUCUUGAGGACAUCCCCUGGUUAUACCUCUGUGGGGUAGCAGGCCUGCUCUUUGCUUUCAAUAUCCUGGUGAACUUUGGCAUUGCCAUCACAUACCCCACAUUAAUCUCUCUGGGCAUCGUCCUGAGUGUCCCUGUCAAUGCCAUGGUUGACCUGUACACAUGUGAGAUCCACUUCAACGCAGUGCGUCUGAUCGCCGUGUUGAUCAUCUGCCUGGGCUUCCUGAUGUUGCUGCUUCCAGAGGACUGGGACCAGUGCUUCAUCCAGCUCCAUGCUAAGCUGCAGAGUAAACGGGAGGAACCAGCCGAGGAGGAGGCAGGGCCCGGCUCCAGCCUCAACUGGAGCAGGAGAGCAAGGCCCUCCAUGUCUACCUUUACACACUGACCACCGUUUAAUGUGGAGGGACGGACGGACACACUGAAACAGACAGGCAGAGGCAAACACGCACACGAAUGGAUGAAUGGACAGAUACAGACACACAUACAGUGUACAGAAACACAUACCGAUACACACACACACACACCUUGGACACUUGAUUGCCAUGAUGACCUGUAUGGUCGACCUCUGCCCUCCGCCCUCCCUCUCUCUUUCCCCUUCCCUCUCACUAGUUUCUGCCUGGAAACCUUUCUGUUGGUCUGUCAGUCCGUCUGGGUCUGUUCAAGACCUUUUCAUUUCACUGCAAAAAGCAUUUCACAAUCAACAAACAAUUAUUUCCUACUUGACCUCCACCAUUUUAGAAGUCAUCAGAGUUGGUGCAUGGGCUCACGUCAUUUAGCAAUACCUCAAGGUCAUUCCAUUGGACUGAUACAUGUAUUUACAUCAUGCCUGGGAAGACUUGCGAACUUGCCUUUGCUUUUCAAAAGACAAGGAUAGAUUGACAGACUAAUAAUAGUUACAUGUUUUUGUCAGUUUUUGUCAGACUGAUGAUGGACUUUCUGGCUUUAACAUCAUGAUCCCAUCAACCUCCAAGGUCCAGAGAAGAAGAGAACCAGGAGAGACAGAGUUCGGGUGGGCAUGUCCCUGUUGUCCCUCAGGUGUCAACAUCAUGUUCCCAUCAACCUCCAAGAUCCAGAGAAGAAGAGAACCAGGAGAGACAGAGUUAUGAUGGGCAUGUCCCUGUUGUCCCUCAGGUGUCAACAUCAUGUUCCCAUCAACCUCCAAGGUCCAGAGAAGAAGAGAACCAGGAGAGACGGAGUUCUGGUGGGCAUGUCCCUGUUGUCCCUCAGGUGUCAACAUCAUGUUCCCAUCAACCUCCAAGAUCCAGAGAAGAAGAGAACCAGGAGAGACAGAGUUCUGCAAAUGAGAAGAGCCAGAGCCAUCUACAGCCACACUGAUUGGCCACCUGCUGUGAUACACUUCCCCCUUAGAUCAGAUCCAGAGCUCCAGCUGGUUCCAGGCUGACACCCUCAGAUCCAGAGCUCCAGCUGGUUCCAGGCUGACACCCUCAGAUCCAGAGCUCCUACUGGUUCCAGGCUGACACCCUCAGAUCCAGAGCUCCAGCUGGUUCCAGGCUGACACCCUCAGAUCCAGAGCUCCAGCUGGUUCCAGGCUGACACCCUCAGAUCCAGAGCUCCAGCUGGUUCCAGGCUGACACCCUCAGAUCCAGAGCUCCAGCUGGUUCCAGGCUGACACCCUCAGAUCCAGAGCUCCAGCUGGUUCCAGGCUGACACCCUCAGAUCCAGAGCUCCAGCUGGUUCCAGGCUGACACCCUCAGAUCCAGAGCUCCAGCUGGUUCCAGGCUGACACCCUCAGAUCCAGAGCUCCUGCUGGUUCCAGGCUGAUACCCUCAGAUCCAGAGCUCCAGCUGGUUCCAGGCUGACACCCUCAGAUCCAGAGCUCCAGCUGGUUCCAGGCUGACACCCUCAGAUCCAGAGCUCCUGCUGGUUCCAGGCUGAUACCCUCAGAUCCAGAGCUCCUGCUGGUUCCAGGCUGACACCCUCAGAUCCAGAGCUCCUGCUGGUUCCAGGCUGACACCCUCAGAUCCAGAGCUCCAGCUGGUUCCAGGCUGACACCCUCAGAUCCAGAGCUCCAGCUGGUUCCAGGCUGACACCCUCAGAUCCAGAGCUCCAUCUGGUUCCAGGCUGACACCCUCAGAUCCAGAGCUCCAGCUGGUUCCAGGCUGACACCCUCAGAUCCAGAGCUCCUACUGGUUCCAGGCUGACACCCUCAGAUCCAGAGCUCCAGCUGGUUCCAGGCUGACACCCUCAGAUCCAGAGCUCCAGCUGGUUCCAGGCUGACACCCUCAGAUCCAGAGCUCCAGCUGGUUCCAGGCUGACACCCUCAGAUCCAGAGCUCCAGCUGGUUCCAGGCUGACACCCUCAGAUCCAGAGCUCCAGCUGGUUCCAGGCUGACACCCUCAGAUCCAGAGCUCCAGCUGGUUCCAGGCUGACACCCUCAGAUCCAGAGCUCCUGCUGGUUCCAGGGCGAAACCCGCUGCUCAGUCCCAUGGCUUCAAUCACAACACUCCAGACCAGCCAAACUUAACCAAGCAGCUACAUUUGCAUUAUUUCAACAUCAUUUCAACCUCCUUAGCUACCACUCAGCUUCUGCUUUGAUACCUGUCGGUAGAUUUCCCACCUUUAAAGUCACCUUAUCAUGAGGCAGACGUACUAUAGUGGUGUACUCUGUCAGUUAGCCAGUGAUGCAGCAACACUAGCCUAGGUUCCAGUCUGUUUAUGCCCUCUUACCAACUCCUUAUAGAAUUGUCAUGGCUUGGGAGUUGGAAAGAGCACAACCAGAUCUGCGAUCAGGCUAAUGACACACAGGGACAAAUCUAACUACAAGUGAUGAUCUGUAAGGGUGUUGUCUCCUGUGCAAACCGUAUCCCAAGAUGCACAGCCAGGGGUGGGUAGAAAUGAUUACUCUGUCUGUGGCAUUUUGGUGGAGGAGCCAUUAAGGAAGUCCCAUUGAAGUCAUAGUGAGAUCGGCUACGUCAUGUUCUGGCUGUGGUGGGAUCCAGCUUUGUCUUUAAGAUACUGUUUUUAUUUAUUCCAUUGAUUAUGAUUCUAAGGCAAGUUAACCACUGUGAGGACUCUUCAGGGUUACUGAUGAGGUAACAAACCGAGCAAAACACAGACCACAAUGUAGGCGCGGCUUCAAACAGGAAGUGGGCAGAACCUCUGCCUUGUUGUGAAUGUAUACAUGACCACUGCUCAACACUCACCAUGUGCUAUCUAUCUUUUCUAUUUCUUCAGAGGGAGGCACCAUUAGACUGGUUAUGCCACAGCCUCACACUACAACCAUUCUUAUUGCACUCAUCCAUCUUGAAUGAACUCUGAGAUGCAUCUUAGUAAAUGGACAUGUUUUUCUAUUUCUGCAUUUAGUUUGACCACUGAUGUGAAGGGACAGCGAGUGACUGACAUGACAUCUACAGAACAAGCAUGCAGAGAUGACCAGAUAUAACUGAGCAGUCAUUCACUUCACUGCCUAUUCUUUUUGUUCUGCAAUAGAGUACAGGGUUGGGCUCAGUUCCAUUUCAAUUCAGGCAAUUCUGGAAAUAAACUGAAAUUCCAAUUCUCCUCAUUGAAAAGUAUUGAGGAACAUUUGAAUUGAAGUUUGGAAUUGGUAUUUCAGUCCUAAAUUGUCUGAAUUGUAAUUGUACUGAGCCCAACCCUGAAUAGAAGUACUACAUCAGCACUGUAAUCUCUCAUUGUCAUUCUUCGUAAUGACAAUAUAAUCAUGAUAUUGUAUUCCUCUGGAAUUAUUGCUAGACAUAACUGUAAACCUUUGUAAGGAAUGAAGCUGACUUUUACACUGAAAUAAUAAAUGCAACAUAUGAUUAUCACAUCUGAAGAAGAACACAGUGUGGUUGGAUUACAUGAUGACACCGUGUGUUAGAUCAGUUAGUUCUUCAACAUAUGAUUAUCACAUCUGAAGAAGAACACAGAGUGGUAGUUCUUCAACAAGUGUAAUCACAUGUACUAUUUCAAAAUAUUAUUUAUUAGUUUACUGGAUUAGUAUAAAAUAUAUAGCUCACACUGAAGUUUAAAAAAAAAUGUUUAUGGGAUUUGCAAUGUGCGUUUUAGAAUGUGUUGAAUUGUCCCUAUAUGUCGAACAUGUGAAAAGGAAAUAACUAAACAAAGGAACUAGACAAUAUAACAGAUUUAAUUUACAAAGGAACUAGACAGUAUAACAGAUGUAAUUUACAAAGGAACUAGACAGUAUAACAGAUGUAAUUUACAAAGGAACUAGAC